UCCGUAGGUGAACCUGCGGAGGGAUGAUUAUAGAGUUUUCUAAACUCCCAACCCAUGUGAACUUACCUUUUGUUGCCUCGGCAGAAGUUAUAGGUCUUCUUAUAGCUGCUGCCGGUGGACCAUUAAACUCUUGUUAUUUUAUGUAAUCUGAGCGUCUUAUUUUAAUAAGUCAAAACUUUCAACAACGGAUCUCUUGGUUCUGGCAUCGAUGAAGAACGCAGCGAAAUGCGAUAAGUAAUGUGAAUUGCAGAAUUCAGUGAAUCAUCGAAUCUUUGAACGCACAUUGCGCCCAUUAGUAUUCUAGUGGGCAUGCCUGUUCGAGCGUCAUUUCAACCCUUAAGCCUAGCUUAGUGUUGGGAAUCUACUUCUCUUAGGAGUUGUAGUUCCUGAAAUACAACGGCGGAUUUGUAGUAUCCUCUGAGCGUAGUAAUUUUUUUCUCGCUUUUGUUAGGUGCUAUAACUCCCAGCCGCUAAACCCCCAAUUUUUUGUGGUUGACCUCGGAUCAGGUAGGAAUGCCCACUGAACUUAAGCAUAUCAAUAAGCGGAGGAA
rnacentral:rRNA from 1 species